rnacentral:tRNA from 1 species
GGUCCCGUAGUGUAGUGGUUAACAUGCCUGCCUGUCACGCAGGAGAUCGCGGGUUCGAGUCCCGUCGGGACCGC